rnacentral:lncRNA from 1 species
AAUGUAAGGGUACUGGAGAAACUAUCAAUGAUAGAGAUCGCUGCCCACAGUGCAAGGGAGAGAAGGUUGUGCAGGAGAAGAAAGUUCUUGAAGUUAUUGUGGAAAAGGGAAUGCAGAAUGGCCAGAAGAUUACAUUCCCUGGUGAAGCUGAUGAAGCGGUAUGCGGAGAUUCUGACCAUAUUGUUGCUGGCAUUUAAGUUGAUGAUGAUUGAUUACAGAAUUUGUUUGAUAAUCAAUGUUUGUUUGUGUGUGCAGCCGGACACAAUUACUGGGGAUAUCGUCUUUGUGCUUCAGCAGAAGGAGCAUCCUAAAUUCAGAAGAAAGGCUGAAGACCUUUUUGUCGAGCACACCUUGUCCCUUACUGAGGCCUUGUGUGGUUUCCAAUUUGUCCUGACUCACUUGGAUAGCCGCCAACUUCUUAUCAAAUCUAAUCCUGGGGAAGUUGUCAAACCAGGUAUGUAAAUGAUUAAUAUGUAAUCCUUUUUGGGCCUCUACUUUCCUUUGAUAAACUUUGGUAAUGCUGUGUACACUGGUCUACACGUGCAGAUUCAUACAAGGCUAUUAAUGAUGAGGGAAUGCCCAUGUACCAGAGGCCAUUCAUGAAGGGGAAGCUUUAUCUUCACUUCACUGUGGAAUUUCCAGAUUUUCUAAAUCCAGAACAGGUUAAGGCUUUGGAGGCCGUUCUGCCACCAAAGCAGCCUUCACAGUUAACAGACAUGGAGCUGGACGAGUGUGAGGAGACCACACUUCAUGAUGUCAACAUGGAGGAUGAGACUAGGAGGAGGCAGCAACAAGCUGCUCAGGAGGCAUAUGAGGAGGAUGAUGAUAUGCCUGGUGGUGCACAGAGGGUACAGUGCGCCCAGCAGUGAUGACUUGUGUGGAAGGAAUGUAGAAUCAGAAUUAUAUAAAAUGAAUGAUGAUGAUGAUACUGUUGAUGAUCCGUAACUGUAGCGUGGACUAUGGACUAAAGACGAGUAGCGUUGUAGUAGUGUUUGAUUGUGAGAAAGUGAAGAACAUUAAUACUGUGGAAAGGAUAAUUUCUGUUCUGGCAUC